rnacentral:misc_RNA from 1 species
AACGCACCUUGCACCCUUUGGUAUUCCAAAGGGUACACCCGUUUGAGUGUCAUUGUAAUCUCACCUCUUUGGCUUUUUGUCGAUCAGCGUGGACUUGGAUGCUGUCGUGUAACAAACGGCUCGUCUGAAAUGCCUGAGUGUACCCUGCUUUGCGGCGUAUUCGGUGUGAUAAACAUCUUCACCGGAGUUGACUUUCGGGUCGCGCUUGUACAGAUUGGCUCUAUGCUUCUAACUGUCCUGACAAGACAAUCUUUGACAAUUUGACCUCAAAUCGGGUGGGACUACCCGCUGAACUUAA